rnacentral:rRNA from 1 species
AUGAACGCUGGCGGCGUGCCUAAUACAUGCAAGUCGAGCGAACAGACGAGGAGCUUGCUCCUCUGACGUUAGCGGCGGACGGGUGAGUAACACGUGGAUAACCUACCUAUAAGACUGGGAUAACUUCGGGAAACCGGAGCUAAUACCGGAUAAUAUAUUGAACCGCAUGGUUCAAUAGUGAAAGACGGUUUUGCUGUCACUUAUAGAUGGAUCCGCGCCGCAUUAGCUAGUUGGUAAGGUAACGGCUUACCAAGGCAACGAUGCGUAGCCGGCCUGAGAGGGUGAUCGGCCACACUGGAACUGAGACACGGUCCAGACUCCUACGGGAGGCAGCAGUAGGGAAUCUUCCGCAAUGGGCGAAAGCUUGACGGAGCAACGCCGCGUGAGUGAUGAAGGUCUUCGGAUCGUAAAACUCUGUUAUUAGGGAAGAACAAAUGUGUAAGUAACUAUGCACGUCUUGACGGUACCUAAUCAGAAAGCCACGGCUAACUACGUG